UAAGCAUAUCAAUAAGCGGAGGAAAAGAAACCAACAGGGAUUGCCUCAGUAACGGCGAGUGAAGCGGCAACAGCUCAAAUUUGAAAUCUGGCUCCUUUGGGGUCCGAGUUGUAAUUUGUAGAGGAUGCUUCGGGUGCGGCACCGGUCUAAGUCCCUUGGAACAGGGCGUCAUAGAGGGUGAGGAUCCCGUAUGUGACCGGCGACCAAGCCCAUGUGAAGCUCCUUCGACGAGUCGAGUUGUUUGGGAAUGCAGCUCAAAAUGGGUGGUAAAUUUCAUCUAAAGCUAAAUACCGGCCAGAGACCGAUAGCGCACAAGUAGAGUGAUCGAAAGAUGAAAAGCACUUUGGAAAGAGAGUCAAAAAGUACGUGAAAUUGUUGAAAGGGAAGCGCUUGUAACCAGACCUGCCGUCGGGUGCUCCGCGGGCAUUCUUGCCCGUUUACUCACCCGCGAUCAGGCCAGCAUCGGUUUUGGCGGCCGGAUAAAGACUCGAGGAAUGUAGCUUCGCUUCGGGGAAGUGUUAUAGCCUCCUGUGCAAUACGGCCAGCCGGGACCGAGGACCGCGCUUCGGCUAGGAUGCUGGCGUAAUGGUUGCAAGCGACCCGUCUUGAAACACGGACCAAGGAGUCUAACAUCUAUGCGAGUGUUUGGGUGUCAAACCCAUGCGCGGAAUGAAAGUGAACGGAGGUGGGAACCCUUAAGGGCGCACCAUCGACCGAUCCGGAAGUUUACGGAUGGAUUUGAGUAUGAGCAUAGCUGUUGGGACCCGAAAGAUGGUGAACUAUGCCUGAAUAGGGUGAAGCCAGAGGAAACUCUGGUGGAGGCUCGCAGCGGUUCUGACGUGCAAAUCGAUCGUCAAAUUUGGGUAUAGGGGCGAAAGACUAAUCGAACCAUCUAGUAGCUGGUUCCUGCCGAAGUUUCGUAAGUUCUUCCGAGGACCCACCCCCUAACGAACUCUUGCUAACAAUCUCAAUAGCCUCAGGAUAGCAGUAACGUUUUCAGUUUUAUGAGGUAAAGCGAAUGAUUAGAGGCCUGGGGGAUGAAACAUCCUUCACCUAUUCUCAAACUUUCAAUAUGUAAGAAGUCCUUGUUACUUAGUUGAACGUGGACAUUUGAAUGCACCGUUACUAGUGGGCCAUUUUUGGUAAGCAGAACUGGCGAUGCGGGAUGAACCGAACGUGGGGUUAAGGUGCCGGAAUGUACGCUCAUCAGACACCAAGGGGAAUACUUGUGGUGUCUUGCCGGGGGAUGGACCCCCGGCAUCAGUCUGCGAAAGGCGAGGUCUUUGACCUGUAGGGGUCGGCGGUCGCUCCGGCGAUGGCCUACCCUCUGCUGUCCCUUGACCCGGGCAGCUCACAGAUCAAGCAAAGGCCGGCGGCAGAGUGCCGUUGGAGAUAUGAUCGGCCCCCGAAGGCUCACUCCGGGGAGCAAGUGCAAAAGGUGUUGAUUCAUCUAGACAGCCGGACGGUGGCCAUGGAAGUCGGAAUCCGCUAAGGAGUGUGUAAUUGUUGCACACCACAGUCGCGAUACUAGCAUGCACCCCUGGGUGCAAGUGACAGCUCUUUGAUGCCCGAAUGCUCUCUCGUCCCGCGAGAUUGCUACCGGCAGUGGGGUCAAAUCGACCCCAUCUACAGACUACGCGGAGCUGACUGCGGGGGCCCUUGGGGGCUGCCGCAGGGAAGAUAUAGUCGUUGCAGGCCCCGGGAGGGGCCUUGGUGCCAGAACAACUCACCGGCCGAAUGAAUCAG
rnacentral:rRNA from 1 species